AUGAGGGCAUCCUGCCUCCAGCUCUGCGUUAACCCUCUCCUAGGAUGCGGUCCUCCUGCCCGGCUGCGUGUUUUGGGGUAAACAUCUCUCAUAACUCGUGGCCAGAAGGCAGCAAUUAGGCUUUCUUUUCUAGACCCAGAAUAGAUUCCACGAGCACGGCUCCAGGAGAUAUCUCAGCAGUGCAAAGUCUGAGGCUUUCACCAUUCUACAUAAAGCCUUACCCAGACGAUUACAGCCUAAUGGCUCGGCUUCCUCAAUAAUGGAAGACACCGCAUUGCAGAGAAGUCCUUAGCAGCUCUUUCCCUCCAUAGCAUUUUUUGCAUACACCUGACUUGCAAUACGUUUAAGAAUAUACCCCAACUGAAAUCCCACUUUGGUUGCAUGAUUGCAAAUAACCCGGGGGGGCUCUGCUGUUCUCUGCAUUACUGGAGCUCCUCAGAAGCUGUGGCUCCUGCAGCUGGUAGCUGCCCAGCACCCUCAGCUUGCAGUAACAGAUGGAAUAAAACCAAGCCUCAGCAUUGCAGAGAAAUGAUUAAAAACACGGUCUUCAAAAUUCAUAAUGAAACUUAAAAGCACCCCCUCAUCCUUUAUUCACACAGAGAUAUACAUAAAUACAUACAGAUUGUUUCUGUAAGGCACAGAGCCAGCUUGGGGAUAUGUGACUCACGUCACUCACAGUUUUGAAUCCUUAGGGUUGCAGCAGAGGGGCAUCUUGCAGCACCUCUCCCAGAGCUGCUGUCUCACACUAACAUUCACGUCGUGGCUGAAUUUAAUAUUUCACCUUCAUUUCCUCCACCCGGCCUCCUGCAGCUGUCCUGACAUGAGGGUGGGAGCGGUCAUCCAGGGGCAAGGUUCACCAGAAACAACCCCUUAAACACACCUUUCUGGUGGAGUACUUAAACCCUUUUGUAGCUUGGAUUCUGGAUAUGAUUUCUGUCCAUAAAUAGCCAGGAUGGGGUUCAGUUAAAUCACCAAAGCAUCCAGCUGCACAGCCCCUCGCAGAAGCCCUGCUUGCAUACACUUGUCACCUUGCAACCAGGGCAGUGCAGUAGCUCUGGGGUACCUGCAGUUCCCUCAGUGUUCCCAACCACCGUGGUCGUACAGCACUUCACCCUCUCUGUCCCUUGCACAGGCUCAGCCCAUGCGAUCUCGGGUCAGGAGGUGCUUUGGGAGGGCUGCCCAGGUAUACCACUGGGCUUGGGUAGGGGGAAGAGGUGAGGAUGUGCAGACCUCGAAGGAUGCACAGAUCCCAAGUUACUGGAGAAGACUGCAUUUCAUAUCUCCUCUCCCAGUGGUCAGUUAUCUUCACUGAGGCUGAGCUGCACCAAUGCGCCGGGAAGGUGUUGAAGUCUGAUUAAGUGUCAUUAAAGGCUCCUGUCUUGCUUGGGGAUGAAGAUGGAUGGGGAUGGGGAUGAAGAUGAAGAUGGCACACACAGCAGGAUGUGGCUUGCCAAGGGCUUGGGCCUUAGGGCUCUGCAGACCUCUUGUUUCUUCUUCUCUAGUGAAGACAAACCCUUCAGGAGAUGGGCUUUGCCAUCUCCUGUGCUGAUGCUAAAACAUUUGUCCAUGCAGUGCUUUGCAAAGAAUCUGCCUGCGGUGAGCUGAGGCCAAGCUGGCAGAGAGACACAGAGAAACCUUGCCCAGUAAAGCUCAUUUCAUAUUCAGUCGUAACUUCUGUGUUUCAGGGUCACCUCAGUCCCUGCCUCAGCAGAUACCUUCUGUAACCCAUUGCAUGAUCUUCAGAGAGGCCCACAAGGGUCCCAGGGAACACGGGCAUGUGACCCAUGUCUCCACUUUCUUCUACCUUCCUUCUGGGAAGGAGUUUCUUCGCAAGUAGUUUUUUUUUUUCUUCCUUUUCUUCAUUUUUUCCAAGCAUCUUAGCAGCAGCUUCUUCUAUAGUGACAGGAGAGUCAGCUCUCACAGAACACCAGCAUCGGGGGCUAACAGAGAUCCACUGUCCCUGUUCUCCCCACCUGCCUUGAUGAACCUUGUAAUGAGCUUUCCAAGUGUCUGGGCUUGGCCCAGCUGCUGGAGUCAUACAGAAAAGCUGGGUGCAUCUUUGGACUGUGUGCAUGGUAUACAGCCAGAAGAGGAGGGUUUUUUGGCAAAACCCGAGACAAAUCAGACAAUCCCUUUCUGAGACAUAGGUCUUAGGGAAAAUAAGUGUAAUUCAGAGUGUUUGAAGCAUCUCCUAAUGCUUUUUCAUGUCAUGUCUCAAAUAUGGCUUGGCCUAGAAACUUCAGAUUUGUUUAAUUCAAGAGCCCUUGACGUAAUCUAGCACAGAUGAGGGCUUCUGAGAGGCUGCAGUGCUUAUUUGGAGCUAUUCUCCUCCGAAUUACGAAUAUAUUAGUGUUCUAUCAGCAGCUGUGACAGUGAAAAGUUAAGACAGGCUUUCUAGGCUUUGCCAAAGAAUCCUCAGAGCCCUCUUCCUCCAUCAGACUGCUUUCACCCACCAGGAUGAGGACUGCUCAGGUGCCCUACAAACCAAAGCCAGCCCAGAACAUCCACCAGUGGGAUCUGAGCUCUCCUGCCAUGCCUGUGCCACCCUGCAGCCAGUGGCCAAAGGGCACUCUCAGCUUCCCAGCCUCACCCAAGUCAAACUCCAGCCAAGACCUAAAUAAAACUAGAGAGCGUCAGACAACUCCUCCUAGCAGCAAUUCAGCUUAGGGAACGAGGAACGAGCCAGCAUGAAGUUUGGGAAGAGAGCUAUUUGCAAGUAAUAAAAGCAAAAAACCUACUGAAAUUCAUUUCCUUUCUAAUGGCCUGGGUGACUGGGAGAGGGUGGAUUUUUUUUCAUAAUUAUCAGAGCUAGGGAGAGAUGUUGCGGACGGGGUGUUAAUUAGAACCAAUAUACUUGGGUAUAUUGCAUUUCAUUAGGAGAGUAAAUAACCCCAGCAGAUUUUAAUCCCGCUGGCAGCAGGCCAAGCGCUGCCGAGAGAUUAUCUCUGAGGGUUAAAAGUAGGCCAAAGAGCUAAAAGCAGCCUUUCAUGAACGGAGAAGGCCAAGGAUCCAGGCUAGAAGUGGUCGGCCAAAGCUCGGGGAUAAUCAUAUUGAAAUCCUCAGCAGAAAGUACAUUAAAAUGAGAUAAAUCACAAUUGCCUGGUUUCUGUGGGAGGGCAGGCAGGAAGGAGGGAGCUGAAUCCAGACACUUUAACCCCAAAGACAAAUGCAGCUCAUGUUAUUUGCCUUAUCAACCCCAUGGAAAUGAAGCACCCAGGUCGAACUGAGCUGUGUGAUCACACUGCCGAAGCUGAGGGUGACCCAGCAAUGAGCAACGACGUCCUCGUGGUGCUGUACCACCUCCAGGUACCACGGUGAGGUCAUCCUGAAGGUCCCCAGGAGCAGCAUCCCUCUGGAUGACAAUCCCCUUCUGGCCAGGAAACAGUCAAAGGGGACAAACAGGAUGACUGUGUUGUGGUUUUAAACCAGCCCCAUCCCCCUGGCAGGGUUCAGUGCGUAGGGACUGAAAUACAACUGGGAGAACCUUCUCUUGUGGACACACCCAUGAAAGUGAAAAUGAGAGGUGUAGAUUUAAACCAUGACCAGAUUUGUCCCCUUGAGGUAACAGCACCCAGCCCUACUGAGGCCCAUGGUGCAGUGGCCCUGAAAGCAAGGAGUUGUCCCUAGGCCCAGCAGGACGUACCCAGCAGGACUUUGCCAAGGGAGCAUGGGCUCAGGUGGCAGCAAGGAAAGGGGACAUACAGGGGUAAGAAGCAACCUGGCUUCUCUCCUGGUCAGUAUCCCACCACAGAAACGUCAGCAGAGGCUUUGAAAGCAGUUGGAAGGGACACGAGCAAACAAGGAUGCUUUGCCCACCUUCAUCUUCCCCUCUGCUCCCAGAUAAAUGAGCACUGGUCAUAUGGUCUUUGGGUAAACUGAUCGCUGUUUGCAGGGGCACAGCAAAACAUCGUGCUCUGCAACUGCAGAUCUAUGCAAAAAGGUGCAAACGAAAGGAAGAAAUAAGCUGGAGCUGUGACAUUCUGGCAGCACUAGGAAGCAAAAAGCAUUGAAAGAGGUUAAGAGGGUCUGUGGUUGGCGUGAAUUUCUGUGUCCCGCUCUUCACCUGGCUCUUCACUGUCAGCAGCUUCUGAAUGCAGAAAAUCAGCUCUGAAAAACUGAAGUACCAAAACUUCACUCCAUAAAAGAGGGAGAAAAUCAUUUUUGUCCCUUGUCCUUGGGAGCGUGAGCUGGAAUCACUCGGUUAGCUGCUUUGGGAGGGACUGGAGUGGUACGAUAAGAUGGCUGGGAUGCUCUGACAUAGCCUAAUUCAAUUAAAACACGGUUUUAUCCUGAGAAGGGACCCAGAUUCUUCGCCAGUGAUGGCACAGAGGCGCACACCAAGCAACCACAGGAGGGAAUUACACCAUUUCAUGAUCUCAGCGCCGAGCAAAGGCAGUCUAACCCCCAGCGCCCACAGUCAUGACAUCAGUGCCGGUCCCACAGGGCAACUGGUGGAUUUCUUUGGUUGGAGGAACCAGGGAAACCAGAGCUUGCUAAAUAAAUUAGAGAACUGGAGAAGAGCACAAACACACAGGCACAGAAGUAUCCCCAUCCGCCCUGCUGCAGCGGAUACGAAAAGCCUCAGAGC
rnacentral:lncRNA from 1 species